AGCAGCCGCGGUAAUUCCAGCUCCAAUAGCGUAUAUUAAAGUUGUUGCAGUUAAAAAGCUCGUAGUUGAACUUCGGGGUUUACCCAUUGGUCAGGCUUAAUUGUCUGUACUGGUGAGAUAAAUCUCUACCUUCUGAGGAACUUUCAUGUCAUUAAUUUGGUGUGAUUGGAAAUCAGGACUGUUACUUUGAAAAAUUAGAGUGUUUAAAGCAGGCUAACGUCUGAAUACAUUAGCAUGGAAUAAUGAAAUAGGACGGACUGAUUCUAUUUCGUUGGUUUCUAGGAUCACCGUAAUGAUUAAUAGGGAUAGUUGGGGGCAUUAGUAUUCAAUUGUCAGAGGUGAAAUUCUUGGAUUUAUUGAAGACUAACUACUGCGAAAGCAUUUGCCAAGGAUGUUUUCAUUAAUCAAGAACGAAAGUUAGGGGAUCGAAGACGAUCAGAUACCGUCGUAGUCUUAACCAUAAACUAUGC
rnacentral:sRNA from 1 species